rnacentral:rRNA from 1 species
AUUGAACGCUGGCGGCAUGCCUUACACAUGCAAGUCGAACGGCAGCACGGGUGCUUGCACCUGGUGGCGAGUGGCGAACGGGUGAGUAAUAUAUCGGAACAUACCCUAGAGUGGGGGAUAACGUAGCGAAAGUUACGCUAAUACCGCAUACGACCUGAGGGUGAAAGCGGGGGAGUCGCAAGACCUCGCGCUAUUGGAGCGGCCGAUAUCAGAUUAGCUAGUUGGUGGGGUAAAGGCCUACCAAGGCAACGAUCUGUAGUUGGUCUGAGAGGACGACCAGCCACACUGGGACUGAGACACGGCCCAGACUCCUACGGGAGGCAGCAGUGGGGAAUUUUGGACAAUGGGCGCAAGCCUGAUCCAGCAAUGCCGCGUGCAGGAAGAAGGCCU